rfam:Pseudomonas pseudoalcaligenes KF707 = NBRC 110670 strain KF707 ctg10001, whole genome shotgun sequence.
CUACCGGAACCGAGAGGUGCCGGGAUGGCGCUGCAGAAGUCAGCAGAGGCCAUAGUAGGUGCCGGCACGGGCUGAAGGGC